UAUGAAUCCUUAAGACGGGAAAGGCUCUA
rnacentral:piRNA from 1 species